UUACAAAUGGCAACAGUCCCUUGACCCAGGCAUCGACAGAUUUGGAUACAAUCAGAUUAGUAAUCAUCUGGUCCACUCUGUUGUGAAAAAGCACUUUUUAAGUCAGUGUGAUGCCACUCUAUACGACAGCCCCAAAGCUGUCAGAUGUUGGUGGGAGCUAGAAAACGCUGGUGUAUACACCGAUCCAGAGCAUUCCAAAGAUGUGCCUUGUCUGAUGAGGUCAUAUGAAGGUCAUUGAAGAACUGGGACAUUUUGAGCUGCCACAAAAUGUGCACAGAUCCCUGCAGCAUGGGACCAUGUAUUGUCAUGCUGAAAGGAUAUGCCUGCUUCUACCCAAACCCCACCACUGUCAUGGGCCACUCUGUUCACACCAACGACACCAGCAAAAUGUUCACUCGCAUGGUACCAUACACGCUGUCAGGAUUCAUCUAUCUAGAGGACUGCUCACUCUUGUCUCUUACAAUGCUGAACUGAAAUGCUGAAAUGCUGAUCAAUGCUCCAGAUCAAUACAAAUGACGUUCCAUAAAACAAUUUCUGACUGGAGAAAUUCUUCAAUUGUGAAAACCAUCUGCUGUCUGCAUGGCUGGUGUCAUAAAAUCCCGCAGAUGAAGUGAUUUUAUAUAUCUGGGUCAAAUAUGAAACACUGAUGUGGCGAUGUCAUCAAGUAAUAAUGGAGCUUGUGAAGAUGCAGAGAUUGAGGAUCUCAAAAAUUCUGGCUGUAAUGACGAAACCAGAAAGCAUGAAACAAACAUCUAUUAAGUCUUGGCAGUGUGGAAUCCCAUGCGGUGCAGUUUGUAGGUUGUAAUGUUGGAUCUAUGAAGGAUUUUUAUUGUAAUUAUUAGAGUUUUUUAUUGUAAGAAUUGAAGGUCAUAUUGCAUAUGCUCUGGCAGUCGAUGUGAGAUUGUUGGUUCUCUGUGGUUCUUCAUUUCUCAUUUGAAAGAGAUAGCUGUAAGGAGAGAUGGGGACUGUGUCUAUGACGUAUUCUGAUAUUGACUGUCUUCUUUAUGGCUUCUGUCAGCUGGAUAUACUGAAAUUAAGAGCGAUCUGAUGUGCUAUAUUUUUCCUUGAUGGUGUCAAAUGCCAUAAAUUUGAAUUUGAAUUUUCCUGUCCAUAUUAUUUCCUCAGGGUUAGCUGUUGGCGAUUCCCACCCUUAUUGCGACUCCCUUACCAUAUGAUAUCUGCCAGUUUGGGAGGGUGAAGGCUAACACAUCCUUCCUCCAUAACAUGUUUAGACAGCAAAUACAUCUUUUCCAGCUGACACUGCCAGAAGAAUGCACUCUGUGGGGAAUGAUAUGUGCCAAAUUCUCUUCAUGCGAUCGAGUAUCUCAGAUCAAGACAGGAGAAGAAGUAAGCCCCUCUUCCUACAUAAUAAAAGUAUGACCUUCAUGAGACCUGUGUGUAGACUCCUGGCCUUGGAUAGAACCCAUGGCAACGCUAGAACAAAAUCAUAUUAGCUGAUUUCACUCCUCAGCAGCAAUUAUAAUUAAAGUUAAUGGCAUAUAAACAGAUGUGAAUUACACAAACACACACACACAUACACAUUUCCAGUCAUUCUGUGGUUCUACUGACUCCUGGUUUCUGACUCACUCUGUUAAGCCCGUUUUAUUCUCUCCAGCUCCAGUCAAAUCGAACUAAUCAAUCUAAUCUUUUACUCAUCAAAAUAACAAACACUUCCUGUCUCCUCUCUACAUCUCUCUCCCCUUCUCUAAAUUGUAUACUCAUCAUAAGAUCAACUGUAUUAUAGUAGUGGACCAAAUAUAGGGCAAUGUCUUCCUGUAAAAUCCCUUUCAAAGCCGCAGCUCGCAAUUACUGUGUAUUAGUGGUGGAACAUUAUGGAGAAUUCCAGUUAUAAUAACACCUAACGACUGAACAUUAUGUUUUCAACAUAGCAGUGUUUGGCAAAGCUAUUAUACAUGAAGAAUGAUUUCCUCUGAGUUUUACCUUGUAUGCUUUUUCUUUCUAAAAAAAAAAAAAGUAGGCUCUCCUGCAUUAAAGGAGCCAUUUGUCAUUUUAGAGCCCUCUGCUGCCUGUGAGAGGAAUUGCAAUUGCAUUUAAAAAUACAUUUUUCUCCUUCCUCUUAACCACCAUCUCUGUUAAAAACACUCUCGACCCCACCAUCUCAUGUUGAAACUAUGUACAGUAUGCCUUGCAUAGUGCCUUUUAAGGAAAAGGUUUCAGCUGAGGAUUGAGCGAAUAUUCAGGGAAAAUAAAUGAAAGCCUGAAAUGAAGAAAGUCAGCCAAAUCUAUUGUGUGCUAAUAUUACAAAUCACAGUCUUUAACAUUAUGUGAUUAUUAUAGAUCUAAAAAAAAUACUUUUUAAAAAUACAAACGGCACCUUUAAGACCAUACAACAUAUCUCAAGGUGUGCAUGGAAAUGUUUUGUCACUUUAUUAUCUGUACUUGUGCACCAUUAUGUGAACACUAUAACCAUUUCAGUAAUAUCCUUAUUACAAAUAUUUAAAUAAUUUGUGCUUUACUGGUGCACAGUGACAUCAGUGACAGUUUCAGCCAGGUGGCAGCACUAACACAACAUCCACUGUCAUAUAAGCCUCCAUGUCUAAUGUCAUGUGACACACCUGAAGCGAGAAAGUUCAUACAUGAUUAUACAAUACCAUGGAAACUUGGGCGGUUUGUAAAAUGGAUCUAUAUUUGCUCUUAUUCAAUAAGAAUUGAUCCUAUAUCAUCAAGCUGAACUUUGCUAAGUAUGCUAAAGUUACCUAGAAGCUGCUCCAAGUUCCUUGGCAAAUAGGGGGUUUGCUGGCACAUCAGCAGAGGUUUAGCUUACAUUUCAGCUUUGUAAUACAGCCAUUUUGGACUGAGGUUGAACUGUGACAUUUAGCAGUAGGACAGGUGAAUGGCUAAGACAAGAUGAAGCACAGGUUGUAGCUGAACUCUCUUUCUGCUCAUGUCUUUGUCUGUUUCUUUGUGCUAGUCAUUUUUGUGGCCUUCUGCUACAAAAAAAAAACACUUACACACUAUAACAAGUGUGCUAAACUUUGUAAUUUAGUGCAUUUUGCUUCCACUAUUUAAGAUUUAAUCAUGGCAUAUGGUGAUUUGAAACACUUUGAAAAAUGCUGACAAAUGCACACAGACACCUUCAACCAGUGCUGUAUGAGGAAAAUCCUGCACUGCCCACACACACAUUCCUGUCACACGCUGUUUAAGACUCUGUAGUGCUGCUUGGGACUCUAGGAAACCAGAGAGGCAUGAAAAAAAAUGCCCCCACACAUACACUGCUUACUUAAUAUUAUAUUACAAUGCAGCUUUUGAUGGAAGGAGGAUGGCAGACAGCAAUACAGCAUCACUCUGAAAUAUUAAAUGCUGAUAAAACAUUCUGUACUUAGAGAUGCUGAUGGCUACUUCAUUACCUUGGGCUUGUGUAAGUAAGUAAGUAAGUAAGUAAGUAAUCUUUACUUGUAUAGCACUUUUCUAGACAUGACAAAGUGCUUCGAAUUACUUAAACCACAACCUUCACAUGGCUUACUGAAAAUGAGACAUAAA